AAACUCAAAGGAAUUGACGGGGCCCGCACAAGCGGAGGAACAUGUGGUUUAAUUCGAUGAUACGCGAGGAACCUUACCUGGGCUUAAAUGUAGAGUGCAUGGGGUAGAAAUAUCCCUUUCCUUCGGGACUCUUUGCAAGGUGCUGCAUGGUUGUCGUCAGCUCGUGCCGUGAGGUGUCGGGUUAAGUCCCAUAACGAGCGCAACCCUUAUCGUUAGUUGCCAGCGGGUAAUGCCGGGAACUCUAACGAAACUGCCGGUGUAAACCGUGAGGAAGGUGGGAUGACGUCAAAUCAGCACGGCCCUUAUGUCCAGGGCUACACACGUGUUACAAUGGCCGGUACAGAGGGCAGCUACCUGGAGACAGGAUGCGAAUCUCGAAAGCCGGUCUCAGUUCGGAUCGGAGUCUGCAACUCGACUCCGUGAAGCUGGAUUCGCUAGUAAUCGCGCAUCAGCCAUGGCGCGGUGAAUACGUUCCCGGGCCUU
rnacentral:rRNA from 1 species